GUCACUACUCUAAGUUUUCUCAAAAUACGAACCCUAGGUUUCUUCUCCUUUCUUGACACAUCAGUGGUCCCCUAGACCAGUCAUUGUCGCACCUUCUCUAGAGAUAUACGAAGCCUUCCGAGCUCACUCACUGGUAUACAAAGCCCAAGUCUGACUCCCUCUUGCUCACUCUCAGUUCAGCCCCUUGCCUCCAUUCUCGUUCACUCUCAGCUCAGUCUGUCAUUCACUGCCGCUGGCUCGCGUUCACUCACAGUGUUCAUCGCUUGGGCUCUCGCUGAUGAAGAUCGUUCUUCCUACUUCUUGACACGCAGAGUUCGUUCAUUGUUUAUUGAUGUCAUGUUCUUCGUUCAUCAUUAAAUCCCUAAAUUCAUAAAUCCCGAAAACCCUAAUUCCUCUCUUCUUUUCUUUCUUUCGUUCACUCACGUGAAAGCAUUUAUGCGGGCUUGAGCUUUGUUGUCUAGAUCGGAGGCCAACACAUGUAGUUGGCCUUUCGGGGUAGGGUUUAUAAUGACCCAAUUUUAAAAACUUAAAAAAAAAGACCCUCUUUUUCUAGGGUUCUCCAUCACAAAUCAGAACCAAACAACAUCCUACUCUGUUUGACUACUCUGCUUGACUGCUCUGCUUGAUUAUGUAUGUAUGCAGUAUGAAGGUACAGCCAAUGAGGGUGGUAGAGGAACGAGUAUUUGGGAUACCUUCACUCACAAAUAUCCAGGUAGAAGACAAAAGCAAUGAGGAUGUUGCAGUUGACUCGUAUCACAGCUACAAGGACAAUGUUUAGAUUAUGAAGGAUAUGAAUUUGGAUGUUUAUAGAUUUUACAUGGUCAAGAAUUCUUCCGAGUAAUUCAAAUAUCGAUCUAUGAUUAUUUUGGACUAAGUGGAGGUAUAAACCAUGAAGGAAUUGACUCUUACAACAACCUUAUCAUUGAGGUAUUGGCAAAUGGUUUUGAAGCAUUUGUAACUCUAUUUCAUUGGGAUCUUCCUCAAUCUUUAGAAGAUGAAUAUGGGCAUUUCUUAAGUCCUCGCAUUGUGAACAGAACCCUAUUUCACAACACAUCACCAACUUGUUGCUCAUGCAGUUGUGGUUAAUGUGUACAAGACUAAGUAUCAGGUCAGUUUUUAUUAAAUUUCAGCUUCGUACUUGCUAUGUUUGUUACUGUGGAACAUAUUUUUUAAUAUAUUAAAUGCAAAAUAGCAUGAGAAACUUAUAAUUCUAAGUGUUUGCUAGCAUGUGGAAUAUCAGUUUAUCCAGUAUUUUUUGUAUUGGAAGAAUGUUUAUAUAGUGGAAAAGAGCAUGAGAAACUGAUAAUUCUAAGUGCAAAGCAUUACAAGAAUAAGAACCAUUCACGUUAAUAAAUAAGAUGGAUUCAAAAUAAAGAUAUAGAUAUCAACCUUUCUUUUAAAUGUUGGUUUCUUAACUAUUUUCCUUAUUCUUAAGGCCAUCAAGAUUUCAAUUGCUUUAUUUCUUCUCCAGUACCACUUUUUCUUCUAUGCCUUUAAGAUAUUAUAAUUUAUGAAAAUACUUUCAUAGAAGUAACUCACUGUACUGAUUGCAUGAAAAAAGAUACCAGUGAGUUUGAUACAUGCUCUAAUCGCCUUAGUUUUUGUAAUUUGAUCAUCCUGUUGAUUUUACACCUUAAUUGUAAAGUUCAUUUCAAUCCAAUCCAAUGUAUUAUGAGUUAGAAUGCAUUGGUUUUUGGCAUUUUGAAAGAGUUUAGAAAUAUUAAAAUAACUGAUGUAGUAUUGAAAUGCGCAAAUUAAUUCUACAUCAAAUAACACAUCUCAUGUAAUUCACAACAUAAUUCAAAUUUUAAGUUAAACAUAAUCUCUUAAUAAAAUAUAGCAUAGGUGACAAAAGUCCUGGUUAAUACAUAAAAAUAGAUGUUAGUUCAUAAUAAUCGCAUGAAAAAAGACUUUUUUUAUUCCUUUUGCUUUUUAAUUUCAAUCUAAUUACCACAAUGUUGUAUUGGAUUGGUUGAUGAACACUCUUAGUAUAGAUGAUCUAUAUCAGUAUUGUAGAACUUUGAGUUUUUUAAGUACUUUGUGAUCUCAAUUAACUCUCAAAAGCCUUUCUCCAUUUUAGCUUUUCAACUUGUAUCCUUUGAAUGACAUUAUCAACUUACCCAUCUUUCUUGGAUUAUUAUUUUUUAUUUGAAUGUCUUAACGAAUUCUACUUAUAAUAUUUUCAUUUUAAAGCUUUGUUGGACUUUUAUUAUAUAAGGAGUAACAAAGGAUACAGGAUUACAACUUUGACCACCCUGGUAGUUCACUUCUUGGUCAUUUCUAACAUUCUGUUCAUAUUAAAGUAUAAUGGAAUGUUCUAUGGCCUUGUCUCUUUUAUUAACUUGCAUUUUUUUAAAUUUUGAGAAUGAGGCAAAACAUUUGUUCAUUUUCAUGUUUUUGUUAUUCUAGUAAAUUAAUUAUGAACUCGUUAACUAAAGCUACAUGUUAGUGAAUUAAAACAUUAGUUAAUGAUAAUGCACUGAUAGUGUAAAAUAGUUUUCUAGUCUUUUCAUUCAUUGCAGAGUGAAGGAGAAAACAUGAAGGCCGUGUGGAGCCCUGAUGCCAAAUUAGUUGUUAUUCUUACAUCUACCUUCUUUCUUCAUAGUUUCAAAGUCCAGUUCUCAGAUAAAAGAAUACACACUGGUGGUAGACAACCCUCUGCUUUCUACCUAGCUAUAAUUUCUCUUCUGCUUACAGAGGAAGUUCCUUUUGCAGUAAAGGAUUUGUAUGUGUGUUAGAAUUUUUUAACAGUCGCAUGGAUGCCCAAAGAAUGGAUGGUGGAUGGUCAGUCAAUGAAGUACUCCAAGUGGUAAUUGUAAACUGUCGAUCUUGGCGUGUUGAUGGGAUGAAGAUGUUUACUCAACUGCACUUCACAUAUGAACAAGAGAGUCACCCAGAGGAGUUCUUCAUCCCAUAUGUCUGGAAGCUAGUACUCUCCAAAUGUGAAUUUGAAUUCAAUGCAACAGCUAUAAAUUUGUUUCCAGCUGAUAUACCUACCAAAAAACUUGACAAUGAGGUGGAAGGAAAUACAUUCCAAAACAGUGACUUUGACGAAGUCUGAGUAUCAGCUUGAUCCGUUGCCAAGUACUCCAAUUCUGUUUGUGAAUAUUUGUAUAGAUAAAUUAGUUACAAAAAUGUAAUGUUCUCAUUCUUUUUUGUUCAUAAAUUUUGAGUGUAAUUGUUCACUCCUGAAGAUGAAAGUGGUUUGAGAUAUCCAUG